AUUGAACGCUGGCGGCAUGCCUUACACAUGCAAGUCGAACGGUAACGGGCCUUCGGGUGCCGACGAGUGGCGAACGGGUGAGUAAUACAUCGGAACGUGCCCGACCGUGGGGGAUAACGAGGCGAAAGCUUUGCUAAUACCGCAUACGAUCUACGGAUGAAAGCAGGGGACCGCAAGGCCUUGCGCGGACGGAGCGGCCGAUGGCAGAUUAGGUAGUUGGUGGGAUAAAAGCUUACCAAGCCGACGAUCUGUAGCUGGUCUGAGAGGAUGAUCAGCCACACUGGGACUGAGACACGGCCCAGACUCCUACGGGAGGCAGCAGUGGGGAAUUUUGGACAAUGGGCGCAAGCCUGAUCCAGCCAUGCCGCGUGCAGGAUGAGGGCCUUCGGGUUGUAAACUGCUUUUGUACGGAACGAAAAGCCUUCUUUUAAUACAGGAGGGUCAUGACGGUACCGUAAGAAUAAGCACCGGCUAACUACGUG
rnacentral:rRNA from 1 species